UCGGUGAUCCUAGUUUUAGCAUCUUGCCUGAACUUGCAUAUUUUGUCACUGCUACUUCCCUUUCUUGUCAAUCAUAGUUGAAGAGGUCAUAUUCCUUUUGUUUCUUUUAGUGGCACUUGUAAUCCAUUGAUUGAAGAUAGAAAAGUAACUGCAGUUUCGGUGACCUCAAGGUUAUGAGCCUUGCGAGCUAUCAGAUUGUUGUACCACAAGCCAAAGAUAAGAACUGAAAACUAAUAGAUAAAAAGAAUUAAAUGUUCCCCUCCACCCUAUCAGUACAAAUAGAAUAAAAGUGAAACAUCAAAAAGAUAGAGGGGAACAAAUGAGAGUUCAACCAUUCAUAUAUAUCUUCUUAUAUGGCCUAUGAAUAGUUCAAGCCAAGCUUCCAGUAAUAUCAUCAUAAUCAUAAAGUUGCAACAAAUUGGGAAAUUACUUGGCAACCUUAUCAAUUGAAAUCUACAUGAAAUGACCAUAGACCAAACUAUAAGCAUGUGCAAAUUGUGAUAAAACUCUAUUGUAUAUUUAGAAAAUUAGAAGAUCUUUGUUCUUUUAUUCGAUGAGUCAAUCUAUCCAUUCUCAUUAGGGGAAUUCCUUUAUCUUAUCAAGAGUCCUAGGGAAAUAAAAAAUAACUUCGAGGUAUUUUUUUCGAUUCUUUAAACCUCUUCAAAUUUUAUCAUCCUACAUCUCAGGACUCAGAUAGCUUUGAAGUUAUUUUCUAUUCAAGCAAUCCAAUUUUCACAAAGGACGAUAAAUUUUAAGUUGUCAUAAUAUUAAACAAAGAAUAGCUAAGGAUAUGACUACAUUAAAGGUCAUUAUGGAUAUUGUGGGAAGAACACACAUGAAAAGCAAGCUUUGUAAACAUAAAUUUGGCUAACCAAGUUGUGUCGGUGAUCCUAGUUUCAGCAUCUUGCCUGAAUAUUUUGUCACUGCUACUUCCCUUUCUUGCAAAUCGUAGUUGAAGAGGUCAUAUUCCUUUUGUUUCUUUUAGUGGCACUUGUAAUCCAUUGAAUUAGGAUGUUACAGAAUUUGAUAAUAUAUUUACUAAGAUCAAUGGAUCAUUCUUCUAACAAUUUGAACAUAACUUUCAUCAAACAUGUUAUGUACAAAGGAAUAUGACUACAAAAUGAGGAUAGAAAAGUAACUGCAGUUUCCGUGAGCUCAAGGUUAUGAGCCUUGCGAGCUAUCAGAUUGAUGUACCACAAGCCAAAGAUAAGAACUGAAAACUAAUAUAUAAAAAGAAUUAAAUGUUCCCCUCCACCUUAUCAGUACAAAUAGAAUAAAAGUGAAACAUCAAAAAGAUAAAGGGGAACAAAUAAGAGUUCAACCAUUCAUAUAUAUCUUCUUAUAUGGCCUAUGAAUAGUUCAAGCCAAGCUUCCAGUAAUAUCAUCAUAAUCAUAAAGUUGCAACAAAUUGGAAAAUUACUUGGCAACCUUGAAAUGACUAUAGACCAAACUAUAAGCAUGUGCAAAUUGUGAUAAAACUCUAUUGUAUAUUUAGAAAAUUAGAAGAUCUUUGUUCUUUUAUUCGAUGAGUCAAUCUAUCCAUUCUCAUUAGGGGAAUUCCUUUAUCUUAUCAAGAGUCCUAAGGAAAUAAAAAAUAACUUUCGAGGUAUUUUUUUCGUUUCUUUAAACCUCUUCAAAUUUUAUCAUCCUACACCUCAGGACACAGAUAGCUUUGAAGUUAUUUUCUAUUCAAGCAAUAAAAUUUCCACAAAGGACGAUAAAUUUUAAGUUGUCAUAAUACGAAACAAAGAAUAGCUAAGGAUAUGACUACAUUAUAGGUUAUUAUGGAUAUUGUGGGAAGAACACACAUGAAAAGCAAGCUUUGUAAACAUAAAUUUGGCUAAAAAAGUUGUGUCGGUGAUCCUAGUUUAAGCAUCUUGCCUGAAGUUGCAUAUUUUGUCACUACUACUUCCCUUUCUUGCAAAUCGUAGUUAAAGAGGUCAUAUUCCUUUUGUUUCUUUCAGCGGCACUUGUAAUCCAUUGAAUUAGGAUGUUACAGAAUUUGAUAAUAUAUUUACUAAGAAUCAAUGGAUCAUUCUUCUAACAAUUUGAACAUAACUUUCAUCAAACAUGUUAUGUACAAAGGAAUAUGACUACAAAAUGAGGAUAGAAAAGUAACUGCAGUUUCCGUGACCUCAAGGUUAUGAGCCUUGCGAGCUAUCAGAUUGCUCUACCACAAGCCAAAGAUAAGAACUGAAAACUAAUAGUUAAAAAGAAUUAAAUCUUCCCCUUCACCCUAUCAGCACAAAUAGAAUAACUCAUUUAUACAGAAUGGUAAAAGGGCUACUAUGAUCAUCAACAAUAGAAAUAGAACUAAAGUGUUAAUUCUUACCUACUUGAUCUUGUUGCUCCUGGCAACAAACAUGCUGAACCAUUUUAGCAAGUAUACACAGUAAACUAAAGACGAUGAGGUGAUUUGUUCAGUGUAGUGGCAGAGGAACACACUUUUCUGGCAUAUGCAAUUAUUGAAAGAACAAUAAAUCAUUCAAACAGUUAGGAAGCAUGAGUAAAGAGUUCCAAAUUCUAACAAAGAAUUUCUUACUUAACACCCAUCUUUAUGGUUGUCCAUCUAGACUUCUUAGUUUUCUUC
rnacentral:lncRNA from 1 species